rnacentral:rRNA from 1 species
CCCUUAGAUGUUCUGGGCCGCACGCGCGCUACACUGACGAAUGCAACGAGCUUAUAACCUUGGCCGAAAGGUCUGGGUAAUCUCCAAAUUUCGUCGUGAUGGGGAUAGAUUAUUGCAAUUAUUAAUCUUCAACGAGGAAUGCCUAGUAAGCGCAAGUCAUCAGCUUGCGUUUAUUACGUCCCUGCCCUUUGUACACACCGCCCGUCGCUCCUACCGAUUGAAUGGUCCGGUGAAGCGUUCGGACCGUGGCCUUUGGACGGUUCGCCGUCUGUUGGCUGCGGGAAGUUCGUUAAACCUUAUCAUUUAGAGGAAGGAGAAGUCGUAACA